CCUACGGGCGGCAGCAGUGGGGGAUAUUGCACAAUGGGGGAAACCCUGAUGCAGCGACGCCGCGUGGGUGAAGAAGCGCCUCGGCGCGUAAAGCCCUGUCAGCAGGGAAGAAAAUGACGGUACGUGAAGAAGAAGCCCCGGCUAACUACGUGCCAGCAGCCGCGGUAAUACGUAGGGGGCAAGCGUUAUCCGGAUUUACUGGGGGUAAAGGGGGCGCAGACGGAGAUGCCAGCCAGGAGGGAAAGCCCGGGGCCGAACCCCGGGACUGCUCUUGGAACUGCGUGGCUAGAGUGCAGGAGGGGCAGGCGGAAUUCCUGGUGUAGCGGUGAAAUGCGUAGAUAUCAGGAGGAACACCGGUGGCGAAGGCGGCCUGCUGGACUGCAACUGACGUUGAGGCCCGAAAGCGUGGGGAGCAAACAGGAUUAGAUACCCGGGUAGUC
rnacentral:rRNA from 1 species